AUUGAACGCUGGCGGCAUGGUUAAAGCAUGCAAGUCGCAGGAGAAGCCUUCGGGUGGACACUGGCGAAAGGGCGAGGAAUGGUAUCGAACGUACCCCGAAGUGGAGAAUAGCCUGGAGAAAUUCAGGGUAAUACUCCAUGAUCUCUACGGAGCAAAGCUACGGCGCUUCGGGAGCGGCGAUACUCCUAUCAGGUAGUUGGUGAGGUAAUGGCUCACCAAGCCUUAGACGGGUAGCGGGUGUGAGAGCACGAUCCGCCGCAUCGGAACUGAGACACUGUCCGGACUCCUACGGGAGGCUGCAGCAACGAAUAUUCCGCAAUGCACGCAAGUGUGACGGAGCAAUGCCGCGUGUGGGAUGAAGCAUCUACGAUGUGUAAACCACUGUCAGGGUGUAGGAAGAACUGACCGCACCCAAAGGAAGGACCGGCUAAUCACG
rnacentral:rRNA from 1 species